CACCAGACUCCUACGGGAGGCAGCAGUGGGGAAUAUUGCACAAUGGGGGAAACCCUGAUGCAGCAACGCCGCGUGAGUGAAGAAGUAUUUCGGUAUGUAAAGCUCUAUCAGCAGGGAAGAAGAAAGACGGUACCUGACUAAGAAGCCCCGGCUAACUACGUGCCAGCAGCCGCGGUAAUACGUAGGGGGCAAGCGUUAUCCGGAUUCACUGGGUGUAAAGGGAGCGUAGACGGCGACGCAAGUCUGGAGUGAAAGCCCGGGGCCCAACCCCGGGACUGCUCUGGAAACUGCGGCGCUGGAGUACGGGAGGGGCAGGCGGAAUUCCUGGUGUAGCGGUGAAAUGCGUAGAUAUCAGGAGGAACACCGGCGGCGAAGGCGGCCUGCUGGACCGUGACUGACGUUGAGGCUCGAGAGCGUGGGGAGCAAACAGGAUUAGAUACCCUUGUA
rnacentral:rRNA from 1 species